UACGUAGGGUGCAAGCGUUAUCCGGAAUUAUUGGGCGUAAAGAGCUCGUAGGCGGUUGUCGCGUCUGCUGUGAAAACCCGAGGCUCAACCUCGGGCCUGCAGUGGGUACGGGCAGACUAGAGUGCGGUAGGGGAGAUUGGAAUUCCUGGUGUAGCGGUGGAAUGCGCAGAUAUCAGGAGGAACACCAAUGGCGAAGGCAGAUCUCUGGGCCGUAACUGACGCUGAGGAGCGAAAGCAUGGGGAGCGAACAGG
rnacentral:rRNA from 1 species